rnacentral:rRNA from 1 species
GACGUAGGAGGCGAGCGUUGUCCGGAUUCAUUGGGCGUAAAGAGCGCGCAGGCGGCUUGGUAAGUCGGAUGUGAAAUCCCGAGGCUCAACCUCGGGUCUGCAUCCGAUACUGCCCGGCUAGAGGUAGGUAGGGGAGAUCGGAAUUCCUGGUGUAGCGGUGAAAUGCGUAGAUAUCGGAAGGAACACCAGUGGCGAAGGCGACUACCUGGCCUGUUCUUGACGCUGAGGCGCGAAAGCUAGGGGAGCAAACGGG